CCCUGGAAGACUUUCCUCCGUUCCCUUUCCCUCCCUGCCGCCCUCGAGGCAAAGAUUCUCCGAGCAGCUUACGGCACACCACGGUACAACGGGGGGGGGGGGCAUCGUGGCAGAUCCUGCGGCGCCGCCGCCUCUGCUCUCGGAGCUCGGAGCCUGUUGCUGGAAGGGCUGCGCGGCUGGCGCCCGAGGCCGCGGGGGAGCCACGGGGCUGGGGAGAGGCUCCGCCGUCCUCCUCCCGACAAAGGCACCGACCGAGGCCUCCCAGGCGCGCAGCGCUGCGGGACAAAAGUCCUGUCUCGUCGCUUUGCCCUGCGAGGGGACCAACGAGACGCCGCCGGACCUGGUGCGCUCUGCAGGGAGAAGCGUCCGAAGCGGUUUGUUGCUGAGGGAAGAAGAAACGCCCCUCCCCUCGCCCUCCUCUCCCGCUUCUCAGGCCGAGCAAAGGUGCGGCAGCUUGCGGGGAGGACUGCUCCCUCCGGGGGGGUGCUUGGAGUAAGGGAAGGCGGGGGGGGGACAGGAGCCCCGCGCCAGCGCUUCUGCUCGCGUUCCUUCCACUUCUGGGCAGGCGCGUGCCGGCUCCGCUUGGUCCGUGAUGCCGCUGCUGAGGCUGGGCGCCUUUUCUCUUUUUCAGGCUCGGCGCCGACCGCAGCAGGGGCCCUCCGGGAGCUGGAGGAGGAGGAGGACGGGGACGGCGACCCUGGCAGUGCGAUGGAGGAAGGUGGGCCCACCUGGGAGUCUGCCGGGGAGCGGGGCGCAGCCGUUCCAGGCCCUCCCCUCCAGGAUGAGGCGGGCAGAGGGGCCACUGGCAGCUCAGGCCGUGAAGACUCUCUGCGGAAGGCUGAUUCCCUGUUCGGAGCUUCAGAGUCCCCCGGAGCCUGGCAGAGGGGCUCGUGCACCUGGCUGUGUUGGCGCAGGCGAGUCUUGGAGCUCCUGCAAGAGGAGCAGGCGGCCGAGAGACCCUCCAGGAUCACUCAGGUGAGAUGGGGGAGCAGCGGGCUGGGCGCUCAGGCUGCCGACCCCGGGCACGCAAGCGAGGGAUGCCCAAACCCAUUUGCAUCGUGCUGCUUCGGGCUUUGGGGCUGUUCAGGCGCAUCGUUGGGGGGCUCCGGGCACCAGCCGCCGCUGGACCUGCUGGAGGGAGGAGGGGCAGAUCUGCUCUUGCCCCGUGACCUUGACGCGGUGUGCAGCGUCCCUCAGGUCAAGGCUCGGUGGAGCUCGGAGCCAUUGCAGCAGGGCAAGGGACCUUUCGGACAGAGGGGGCUCCACAGUUGUAAAUGUCAGUGCUUCCCUUGAAAUGCACCCCUGAUCUGAUGUCCUGUAACUGUUGGGCUGUUUCUAAAAUAGCAGUUGUUAAGCUAGAAGGGAAAAACACGGAACAAGCCUUAGACAAGCUUGAACAGCGGCUGGAACAGACAGAACAAAAUUUUGCAAGGAGAAAUGUAAAGUCCUGCAUCUGGGCAAGAAAACUGAAAGCAGCGAGUACAGAAUGGCAGAAAUCCGGCUCAGCAACCUGUUCCUCAGCACUUGGGGAAAGGGUUUGGUUGUACUAGUGGGUCAUAAGCUAAAUAUGAGCCACCAGCGCAAUGCAGCUGCGAAGAAGGCAGAUCCCAUCCUGGGCUGUAUUAAGGGGAACAGAUUCUCGAUCAGGAGAGAUAAGUAUCCCUCUUUACUCUACCCUGCUCAGGCCUCAUUUGGAGUAACGUGUCCAGUUCUGGGCACCCCAAUUGAAAAUCGGCCUUGAUAAAUGGAGCAAGUUCACUGGAACCAACCGAGGUGGUAAACGGACCGGAACCCAGGUCCUCUGGGGAACAGUUAAUGGACCUGGGCAUGUUCAGCUGGCUGAAGUGAAGACUGAGGGGGGUACGAUAGCCUUCUCCAGAUACCUGAAGGGCUGUCACGCUGCGGAGGGAGGGGACUUGUUCUCACUCCCCGCAGUGGGGUGAGAGUUCAAGGAGGCGAUACGGGUUAGAGAUUAGAAGAACCUUCCUGGCAGUAAGAACUGACCGUCAGGGGAACAGGCUGCCUCAUGGCGUGGCCAGUUCCCCUCGAGCGGAGGCCUUCACGCAGAGGCUGGAGAGCCUCCCGUCCGGGAUGGUCUAGCAAAUCCUGCAUUGGGCAGGGGGUUGGACUAGAAGACCUUGGAGUUCCCUUCCAGCUCUAUGAUUCCAUGGCAACUUCUGCAGCCAGAAGACAGUUAACGUCUGACAGGCAGAGGCUGCCCUGCCUUUGGCUUCUGGGACGGAGGCUCUGUCUCGGCAGCAGGGAGGUCCAGCCAGGAACCCGGCUGCUGUUG
rnacentral:lncRNA from 1 species